rnacentral:rRNA from 1 species
UACGAAGGGGGCUAGCGUUGUUCGGAAUUACUGGGCGUAAAGGGCGCGUAGGCGGUCCUUCAAGUCAGGCGUGAAAGCCCCCGGCUCAACUGGGGAACUGCGCGGGAAACUGUAGGGCUUGAGUUCGGGAGAGGGAAGCGGAAUUCCGGGUGUAGCGGUGAAAUGCGUAGAUAUCCGGAGGAACACCGGUGGCGAAGGCGGUUCUCUGGGCCUUACCUGACGCUGAGGAGCGAAAGCGUGGGGAGCGAACAGG